UACGGAGGGUGCGAGCGUUGUCCGGAAUCAUUGGGCGUAAAGGGCGCGUAGGUGGCCCGGUCAGCGUGCGGUGAAAGCUCGGGGCUCAACCCCGAGUCGGCCGUGCGAACUGCUGGGCUGGAGCACUGUAGAGGCAGGCGGAAUUCCGGGUGUAGCGGUGGAAUGCGUAGAGAUCCGGAAGAACACCGGUGGCGAAAGCACUCUGCUGGGCCGAAACUGACACUGAGAGACGAAAGCUAGGGGAGCGAAUGGG
rnacentral:rRNA from 1 species